rnacentral:rRNA from 1 species
AUUGAACGCUGGCGGCAGGCCUAACACAUGCAAGUCGAACGAGUGGCGGACGGGUGAGUACUGUCUGGGAAACUGCCCGAUGGAGGGGGAUAACUACUGGAAACGGUAGCUAAUACCGCAUACCAUCGGAUGUGCCAAGAUGGGAUUAGCUAGGAGGUGGGGUAACGGCUCACAUAGGCGACGAUCCCUAGCUGGUCUGAGCGGAUGACCAGCCACACUGGAACUGAUACACGGUCCAGACUCCUAAGGGAGGCAGCAGUGGGGAAUAUUGCACAAUGGGCGCAAGCCUGAUGCAGCCAUGCCGCGUGUAUGAAGAAGGCCUUCGGGUUGUAAAGUACUUUCAGCGAGGAGGCGUUACUCGCAGAAGAAGCACCGGCUAACUCCGUGCCAGCAGCCGCGGUAAUAC